rnacentral:misc_RNA from 1 species
UUUCCGUAGGUGAACCUGCGGAAGGAUCAUUAACACGUUUUUUUCCGAACGUUUAUUAUCCAUCUCUUACUCUCUGUGCAUUAACAACUCCCGGGCUUCCCUGGUUGCUUGCUUUCAUUUGUAAGUAAGUGGGCCGGGGCGUUCCUGUAGUUGGGUUUCAUUACCCUCUGCGUGGAGCGUUGCCUUUCCAACCCCAACCUUGAAUCUAAUUGUUCUGAACAUUACAGGUGUGUUUAAGCGCGGUUUCGUACUACGUUUUAUACGCCGAAGAAAAAAACAAAAAACAACUCUUAACAAUGGAUAUCUUGGUUCUC